UAAAGAUGUUGAACAGCACUGGGCUCAGGACCAAACCCUGUGGCACUCCAGUAGUCACUUCUUUCUAGGAUGAAGUGGAACCAUUGGUGAGCAGCCUUUGGGUUCGGUCACUUAACCUUGCUUUCAAAACUCUAUUUUUCUCCACCGCAUAGGAGGUGUUUUGAUUGUGCUUUUCCUGCAUGGCAGAAGGAAGUUGAAUUGGAUAGCCCCUGAGGUUGCUCCUAUUACUACUUGUGCUAUUACUACUGUUACUACGGCUGUACCAGAAGCUCCAACUUUAUUUUCUUUCUGCUAAUGUUUGCAGUCAUAGGGCAGGCCGCCUGUCCAUCAACCUUAAGUUUGGUUCCGCCCCUUGUUCAGGGCUCUAGGAGGGAAGGAGCCAUUUUUAAGUCAGUCUCACUUAAGGAAGCUAAGUAUAGGACGUAGACCAGCUCGUCCCGUAGAAAAGCUUCAUAUCUCAAGAACAUCCGGGGUUAUAGAACAUCCGAGAAAACAGAAACAGAUAUUCCAGGGGAAAAGUCCCAAAAGCUCUGGCUGAGAGCUCACAGCCUCUCAGCCUCACAGCUCCUGAGAGAAACAGCCCUAAAGUUUCCAAAGAAACCUCGGAGAGAGAACAGCAUCACAGAUCCACGGGAUACCAGCUGAAACAUCUGCAAGCCUUGGUUGGCCACACAGAAACAGUGUCUGAGCUCUCUUGCUAGACUCCUCCUCUUUCUGCAGCAGAACUACAGUGAGCAGAGGCAUGGGCAUUGUUUGGUAAUCCUAGGCCCAAGCAAUCCAAAACAGGCAUACUUAGCACCUGCAUUCAGCCAGUAUUCAUAUACCACCAG